UACGAAGGGGGCUAGCGUUGCUCGGAAUCACUGGGCGUAGAGCGCACGUAGGCGGACUCUUAAGUCGGUGGUGAAAUCCUGGAGCUCAACUCCAGAACUGCCUUCGAUACUGAGAGUCUUGAGUCCGGGAGAGGUGAGUGGAACUGCGAGUGUAGAGGUGAAAUUCGUAGAUAUUGGGAAAGACACGGUGGCGAAGGCGGCUCACUGGCUCAUAUCUGACGCUCAGGCGCGACAGCGUGGGGAUCAAACAGG
rnacentral:rRNA from 1 species